rnacentral:rRNA from 1 species
AGUGAACGCUGGCGGUAGGCCUAACACAUGCAAGUCGAACGGCAGCACGGUAAGAGCUUGCUCUUACGGGUGGCGAGUGGCGGACGGGUGAGGAAUACAUCGGAAUCUACUUUUUCGUGGGGGAUAACGUAGGGAAACUUACGCUAAUACCGCAUACGACCUACGGGUGAAAGCAGGGGAUCUUCGGACCUUGCGCGAUUGAAUGAGCCGAUGUCGGAUUAGCUAGUUGGCGGGGUAAAGGCCCAUCAAGGCGACGAUCCGUAGCUGGUCUGAGAGGAUGAUCAGCCACACUGGAACUGAGACACGGUCCAGACUCCUACGGGAGGCAGCAGUGGGGAAUAUUGGACAAUGGGCGCAAGCCUGAUCCAGCCAUACCGCGUGGGUGAAGAAGGCCUUCGGGUUGUAAAGCCCUUUUGUUGGGAAAGAAAAGCAGCAGGUUAAUACCCCGCUGUUCUGACGGUACCCAAAGAAUAAGCACCGGCUAACUUCGUG